AGCUCCAAUAGCGUAUAUUAAAGUUGUUGCAGUUAAAAAGCUCGUAGUUGGAUUUCUGGUCGGAGCGACCAUACCGGGCUUGAUUGUCCGUGUAAUGUGUUGCCUCCAGCCAUCCUCGUGGAGAACUUUUCUGGCAUUAACUUGUCGGGAUGGGGACCCGCGUCAUUUACUGUGAAAAAAUUAGAGUGUUUAAAGCAGGCAAUUGGCUUGAAUACAUUAGCAUGGAAUAAUAAGAUAGGACUUUGGUGCUAUUUUGUUGGUUUGCACAUCAAGGUAAUGAUUAACAGAAUCAGUCGGGGAUAUUCGUAUGCAAAUGUCAGAGGUGAAAUUCUUGGAUUUUUUACAGACGAACUACUGCGAAAGCAUUUAUCAAGGAUGUUUUCAUUAAUCAAGAACGAAA
rnacentral:rRNA from 1 species